UACGUAGGGGGCAAGCGUUAUCCGGAUUUACUGGGAGUAAAGGGAGCGCAGACGGCUAAGCAAGUCUGAAGUGAAACCCCACGGCUCAACCGUGGGUUUGCUUUGGAAACUGUUUGGCUAGAAUACUGGAGAGGUAAGCGGAAUUCCUAGUGUAGCGGUGAAAUGCGUAGAUAUUAGGAGGAACAUCGGUGGCGAAGGCGGCUUACUGGACAGCAACUGACGUUGAGGCUCGAAGGCGUGGGGAGCAAAC
rnacentral:rRNA from 1 species